CGUGCGUGUGGGGGAGGACGCAGCAGGAGGACUCGCUAGAGAGCUGCUCCUCAAAACUCCUAGUACUGUAGUUGAGCAAACGGCAUUGGGAGGAAACUGCUCACUCUAAACUUGAAGUUAUCGGGUGCCACACGCAGAGCUUAUAAAAACAAAAACAAAAACAAAAACCCUUGAAAUUAGUGAGUCGACUCUUAGAUGUAGGAGUUGUGUUAGAUCUUGUGGAGCAUCUUAAGGACAAAAUCACGCGGGAGGUUAAAUGCCUUUCGUAUGGUGGGCAUGGUAUAAUAGAGAAUUGAGCUUCGAGGUCUUUCCUACGCCAUGCCCUGUUGUGAUUCUCUGGGAUCACAACUGGUGGGGAUGAUAUCUCCUUAAAAAGGACUCUAGAAGAAGAGUAAAACUGGCAUUGAUCUAAAUUAAAAGAAACCUCGACAAUUCUCAUUCUCUAAUUCAGUUUGAGUAUUGUCCUUUUUAUUUGAUAGGGCUGUGUGAAAACCUAGCUAGGGUUUAAAGCUGAGAAACAAAGAUUUUUAUGUAAAUCUCCUAAUAUUUAUUCUGUAACACUUAAGUUAAAAAUUUUAAUAAGCAUUUUCUGGACACUAAAAAAGUUUUAGGCCAAAGUUAGCCCACAGGUUUCUAGUUUUCCAAAUCUGCUGUAGUGACUGCCAAUGCAGAAGGGCAUUCUGUCUUAUACCUGUAUUAGCAGUUUUGCAGAAUUGUAGCCCUAGCUGAUUUCAUUGUAUUCUCAUUCAGCUGUUUAUUCAAGUAUCAUAUUUAUCAUCUUUGAUCUUUGCAUCUGUUAUGGCCUCCAAUAUUGGGAACGUUUGCUUUUGCCUUGGGUUUUGGAAAAUUAAAAACCAAUAUGACCCUUAUAGGUUAGAAUAUUUACAGAAUUAGAAACAAGCAGUAUAGUCUAAUAGAGGAUGUAAGAGGUGAAGAUAAGACCUACUAGGUGAGAAGCACUAUGCAGGGACUAAUUCAGUGAUGGAGGAGUUAUGGAUUGUGAGAACAUAUUCAGCUCAGGGUGUUGGGAAAAGCUCCAUGGAAGAGUUAGCACUGGAAUGUCAAAGUUUUCUAUCUGCGAUAAUGGGAGUAUUAAAAUAUUCUAAGUUUAAGGAUCUUAUGAGCUAUCAUACGGUGUUUUGGGGGAAAGACAGUAAUCUGUUUUCACAGGAAUAUGUGGUGCUCGAAGGUGAUUG
rnacentral:lncRNA from 1 species